CGCUGGCGGCGUGCUUAACACAUGCAAGUCGAACGAUGAAGAGCAGCUUGCUGCUUGGAUUAGUGGCGCACGGGUGAGUAAUAUAUAGGUAAUGUGCCUCUUAGUCUGGGAUAGCCAUUGGAAACGAUGAUUAAUACUGGAUACUCCUUCUAACUCUAAUGUUAGUCGGGAAAGUUUUUCGCUAAGAGAUCAGCCUAUAUCCCAUCAGUUAGUUGGUAAGGUAACGGCUUACCAAGGCAAUGACGGGUAGCGGGUUUGAGAGGAUGAUCCGCCACACUGGUACUGAGACACGGACCAGACUCCUACGGGAGGCAGCAGUGAGGAAUAUUGCACAAUGGGGGAAACCCUGAUGCAGCAACGCCGCGUGGAGGAUGACGCAUUUCGGUGUGUAAACUCCUUUUAUAUGUCAAGAAAAUGACGGUAGCAUAUGAAUAAGCACCGGCUAACUCCGUGCCAGCAGCCGCGGUAAUACGGAGGGUGCAAGCGUUACUCGGAAUCACUGGGCGUAAAGGACGCGUAGGCGGAUUGGAAAGUCAGAUGUGAAAUCCUACAGCUUAACUGUAGAACUGCAUUUGAAACUUCUAAUCUAGAGUAUGGGAGGGGGAGAUGGAAUUAGUGGUGUAGGGGUAAAAUCCGUAGAUAUCACUAGGAAUACCGAAAGCGAAGGCGAUCUCCUGGAACAUUACUGACGCUAAGGCGUGAAAGCGUGGGGAGCAAACAGGAUUAGAUACCCUGGUAGUCCACGCCCUAAACGAUGAACACUAGUCGUCGGGAUGCUUGUCAUCUCGGUGAUGCACUUAACAGAUUAAGUGUUCCGCCU
rnacentral:rRNA from 1 species